rnacentral:lncRNA from 10 species
AGUGGCGGUGAAGGUGAGUAAAUGACAAGGCUGCCCUUCUGAGUGGGUGUGGCUUUGUCAAUGUUUUGUGUUUCUUAGAUUUGAGAAAGAUUGGCUUUCCCCUCCCCGUGGUGCCUCUGGAUGGGACUGGAGGCUUCCUUUGCUUCUGGUCCACCUAGGUCUUUCAUGACGGCUCUCAGAUCCAAUCCAAUCCCUUUCAACUCCAUCUCAAAAAAAAAAGAACGCAGUCUUAACCAAAGUGAAAGCCAUAGGUGAUAAGGGCUCCCCACCUCCACUCGACUCCACAUCCCUCUGCCACCAGCUCUAGUCUUACCAUAAGCAGAGCUCUUCUUCUGCUGAGAAACCAAUAGACUGGAUUUCCUCCAGGAUCUCUCCUGCCUGGUUGAGUUUGGGUGGUAAUUCCA